rnacentral:lncRNA from 1 species
GGGCAUGCAAAUUCGAAAUGAAAGCCCGGAAACCCCGGAACUAGAACUGGUAUCUCUUCAACUACCUGUGAAAACUGAUGUGAUGAAAAGGGGAAUUUGAAGGAGCCAUUCCAGAAGACAGGGCGAAAACUGAAGUGCAAUCAGGGCCAAGAAAAACAGAAAUAGCAGGACCUGGAGUUGCAUAGGUUGAAUAGUUGAAUAGGCUGCUCUCCUCAGCUGGCAGGAAACCUGGCAGCCUCCUGGUGCCCAAGGACUGAAAACCUUAGAAGCACCUGGAGUUGGCAGCCUUGGCAUGGUCAGGUUGGCACCUCUGGAGGUGCCCAGGCUUCCCUGGCAGCAUUGUGAGCAGUGGAUGGUGUUGAAGGGCAGCCAGAGGAGGAAUGGAACACAUGCUCCUUGCUAACCACACGGACAAGGCCACGUUCACAGGUACACAAAGGACGGGGGUGGAAGGCCACCUUCGAUGGGUGCAUCCUCCACGAUGACCUGCUAACAAAGGUGCAUGGAUUUCAGAGUCUGAUUGGCCUACAACAGCAUUUGGCUUGUGGAGACAGUGGUUCCCUGAUGAAAAACUGCCAUGAUGGGAAUAGAAACAAUCAGAGGAAACUUCCGUGAGUUCCCAGGACACAUCCACCCACCUCCUCCACGUGUAACCACCACCUCUACCUUCCCCUCUGGUGCUGUGGAUGAGCCAUCCGUGCUCCUGGCAAAGGCCCACCUGCCACUUGGGCACAGGAACCCAUCCAUCCCUCCUUACCUCUGGUAACUCUCCCUCUCUCUCUCCUGCAUCCUUCAUAUUCUCUGGGUUGUAUUCUCUUCCAGCCCCCACCCCCUGCCCACCUCCAGCAUGUAAAAGUGCUGUUAUUGUUUCCACUUUAAAACAAACCCUAAAAAUAAGUAAAUAAAAUAAACCCUACCCUGACCCC